UGCCCCGUGGCUGAGUUGGUUACAGCGUCCGACUGUUAUGGUGGCAAUCGGAAGGUCGUGAGUUCGAGCCUCACCGGGGCAG